rnacentral:tRNA from 1 species
AAUAUUGAUAGUAUAACCUCGUACAGUUGCCUUCCAAGCAAAAAGACCUAAAGGUCAAUAU